rnacentral:lncRNA from 1 species
UCUUAUUUUACCCCCCUGUAGCUUAAAAUAUAUCAAUUUGCCCUCUGUGGUUUCUUUUUUCUCUUUUUUUUAUCAACUUUAUUUUUUUUUUCUUAAAUCGGUGAUAAAGUUAAAAUUAAAGGGUACUAAAAUGAAUAUUUGAUAAAUCUAGAUAGGUAUUUGAAGUUUUUUUGUAUAUAAUUUAAUAAAAUAUUAAUGAAAAAGCUACCGAAAAGAUAAAAAUAAAACCAUAGGAGGGCAAUUUGAUACAUUUUAAACCACAGAGGAACAAAGUGAGAAACUACGAAACCACAGGGGGGUUUUCUGAAGUUUUUUCAAAAAAAAUAGUAAAAUUAUAAAGUUAAUUAUUUUUAUAAUAGCAAGAGUUUAAAAAAUUAAAAUGAUUAAAUUUAUGGCGCAUU